rnacentral:rRNA from 1 species
GAUGAACGCUGGCGGUGUGCCUAAUACAUGCAAGUCGAGCGAACAGACGAGGAGCUUACUCCUCUGACGUUAGCGGCGGACGGGUGAGUAACACGUGGAUAACCUACCUAUAAGACUGGGAUAACUUCGGGAAACCGGAGCUAAUACCGGAUAACAUGUUGAACCGCAUGGUUCAACAGUGAAAGACGGUCUUGCUGUCACUUAUAGAUGGAUCCGCGUCGCAUUAGCUAGUUGGUAAGGUAACGGCUUACCAAGGCAACGAUGGGUAGCCGACCUGAGAGGGAGAGCGGCCAGACGGGAACUGAGACACGGUCCAGACUCCGACGGGAGGCAGCAGUAGGGAAUCUUCCGCAAUGGGCGAAAGCGUGACGGAGCAACGCCGCGUGAGUGAAGAAGGUCUACGGAUCGUAAAACUCUGUUAUUAGGGAAGAAGAAAUGUGUAAGUAACUAGGCACGUCUUGACGGUACCGAAACAGAAAGCCACGGCUAACUACGUG